GUAGGGAAUCUUGGGCAAUGGGCGAAAGCCUGACCCAGCCAUGCCGCGUGAAUGAUGAAGGUCUUAGGAUUGUAAAAUUCUUUCACCGGGGACGAUAAUGACGGUACCCGGAGAAGAAGCCCCGGCUAACUUCGUGCCAGCAGCCGCGGUAAUACGAAGGGGGCUAGCGUUGCUCGGAAUUACUGGGCGUAAAGGGCGCGUAGGCGGAUCGUUAAGUUAGAGGUGAAAGCCCAGGGCUCAACCUUGGAACUGCCUUUGAUACUGGCGAUCUGGAGUACGGGAGAGGUGUGUGGAACUCCGAGUGUAGAGGUGAAAUUCGUAGAUAUUCGGAAGAACACCAGUGGCGAAGGCGACACACUGGCCCGUUACUGACGCUGAGGCGCGAAAGCGUGGGGAGCAAACAGGAUUAGAUACCCCUGUAGUCC
rnacentral:rRNA from 1 species